GGAGCCCGCCGGAGCGGUGCUGAGGCAGGCCCGCCCGCCCGCCGCGGUGGCUGCCGAGCGCCCCAGCAGAGACACCGCCGGGGCUGCAGCAGAAAAAUCCUGCCUGUGGAUGUAUCUGUUACAGCUGGCAUGCUUAGGAAGUUCAUGGCACAUCACCCGUCUAGCUGUUGUGAGGAAAAGGACUCUCUAUAGCCAGUCAGCAGGAGAGGUGACUUGUUCUUUUAUGGCAUUUAAAGCACCUAAGAACACCUAGCUAGGCAGCCCAACAAACAGGUUUUGACAAAUUCACCUCUUCACAAUUAACUCUGACCUGGAAACCUGCCCAGUCUACGGUUAACAAAAAGCAUCGGCAUGCAAGACUGGACUUGCUUCACAUUGCUGUGACAAGAUCAUACGCAUUACUGAAGACAUUCUGCAAACAAGCCAUUAAAUAAAUGCAGGUAGGCUAUAAGGCACACCACUGUUCCCAUGUACUAAAUUUUACCAGCUCUACUGUAAAAUUCAAGCAAUACACACCCUUAUUAGCUGUACAAAAACUCAGUCAAUAAAACAAGUUUUUGAAAAUCCCAGUACUGCACAGAAAAUGAAAUUUUUGAGGUAGAUUAUAUAUUACCCAACAUUAUCUUUCUGCCAAUUUGCACACAUGGCAAUUGAAAUUACGAUUUUUCAGAUGCCAAGAUUCCUGUAUCAAGAUCAGAUGAUGUUGUAGGCUUCCUACCUCUGAUUUGGUAUUCAAGCAUCUGACCAGAUUCAAGACUGAAUCAAGCAAGCCUAGGAACAUGGUAAUUCUUCCUGUCAUUUUUCAGUUAUGAUGCUACAGCACCAUCAACAGACUGUUCUUGAAAGCGUGACAACCACAUUAACUGUGAACCUUUCCACAAACAGCUGUGAUCUACUUCUGCAGACCAAAACCAUAAAUAAGAUGCUAGCAGAGUACUAAAGAAUAAUUAUAUGAGACAGACCAGGGUUGUCCCAUGUUAACUGUCUCCAAUUCCAAGGGGGUCAGACAUUAAAACACAAGAGAAGGACAGAUGUCUUUUCGGAUUCUAACAUAAUUCUAAAUCAGCUUAAGGCACAAUUCAGUACAUUUCAGUAGUCUUCUCCCCUCAGACAAGUUUUACACUGGCAACUGCUUGCAGGCUUCUUCAGAAGGCUACAAAACAACUUCUUGGUGUGCACUUGCAGAACUUUCCUGUAACGCUUCAGAAGGUAUAAUAUUGUGCAAGCAGGAAAUGCUGAACAGAAACAGCUCUUUUUGGUAUCAGUGAUGGUGUGCUGUAUAGUUGUACUCUUCCUAGUGUUCAAAGCACUAAGUCCUUUUCACCAGACAUGUAAAGAUGUUUUGAAAGGUGUAUUACACUCAGUAACAGCAAGCUA